GUGCUCGCUUUUAGCACAUAUACCAAAAUCUGAACAAUACAGAGAAGAUUAGCAUGACCCCUGCACAAGGAUGACACACAGAUUCAUGAAGCAGUCAGUAUUUUU
rnacentral:snRNA from 1 species